GCCCGGAUGGUGAAAUUGGUAGACACAAGGGACUUAAACUCCCUCGGCUAUUGCAGCUGUGCCGGUUCGAGUCCGGCUCCGGGCACCA
rnacentral:tRNA from 1 species